rnacentral:rRNA from 1 species
UACGGAGGGUGCAAGCGUUGUUCGGAAUCACUGGGCGUAAAGCGCGUGUAGGCGGCCCAUUAAGUCUGAUGUGAAAGCCCGGGGCUCACCCCCGGAAGUGCAUUGGAAACUGAUGGACUCGAGUCCCGGAGAGGAGGGUGGAAUUCCUGGUGUAGCGGUGAAAUGCGUAGAUAUCAGGAGGAACACCGGUGGCGAAGGCGGCCCUCUGGACGGUGACUGACGCUGAGACGCGAAAGCGUGGGGAGCAAACAGG